CACAGGUGCUGCAUGGCUGUCGUCAGCUCGUGUUGUGAGAUGUUGGGUUAAGUCCCGCAACGAGCGCAACCCUUGUCAUUAGUUGCUACAUUCAGUUGAGCACUCUAAUGAGACUGCCGGUGACAAACCGGAGGAAGGUGGGGAUGACGUCAAGUCCUCAUGGCCCUUAUGGGUAGGGCUUCACACGUCAUACAAUGGUACAUACAGAGGGCCGCCAACCCGCGAGGGGGAGCUAAUCCCAGAAAGUGUAUCGUAGUCCGGAUCGCAGUCUGCAACUCGACUGCGUGAAGUUGGAAUCGCUAGUAAUCGCGGAUCAGCAUGUCGCGGUGAAUACGUUCCCGGGUCUUGUACACACCGCCCGUCACACCAUGGGAGCGGGUUUUACCAGAAGUAGGUAGCU
rnacentral:rRNA from 1 species